rnacentral:rRNA from 1 species
AAUGAACGCUGGCGGCAGGCCUAAAACAUGCAAGUCGAACGCUGUAGCAAUACAGAGUGGCGCACGGGUGAGUAACAUGUGGGAAUAUGCCUAUUGGUACGGAACAACGUUUGGAAACGAACGCUAAUACCGUAUGGUCCCUUCGGGGUAAAGAUUUAUCGCCAAUAGAUUAGCCCGCACUAGAUUAGCUAGUUGGUGAGGUAAGAGCUCACCAAGGCGACGAUCUAUAGCUGGUCUGAGAGGACGAUCAGCCACACUGGGACUGAGACACGGCCCAGACUCCUACGGGAGGCAGCAGUUAGGAAUAUUGGACAAUGGGCGCAAGCCUGAUCCAGCCAUGCCGCGUGAGUGAUGAAGGCCU